rnacentral:rRNA from 1 species
AGAGUUUGAUCCUGGCUCANAAUGAACGCUGGCGGCGUGCUUAACACAUGCAAGUCGUACGCGAAAGGUUCUUUCGGGGACCGAGUAGAGUGGCGCACGGGUGAGUAACGCGUGGGUAAUCUACCCUUGGAUCUUGGAUAACAUAUCUGAAAGGUGUGCUAAUACGUGGAUGAAGUCUUGCUGGAUGAGUUUGGUGAGAUGAAAGGCCGCGCAAGCGGUUGNCCAAGGAUGAGCCUGCGUCCCAUUAUUUAGUUGGCGGCGGCUAAAGGYCCACCC